ACAAAUUAGAGCUUGUUUGAAAGUAUUUCAUUUACAUUGAAAUGAUAUUAAUUAUUAAUUAAUUUGA
rnacentral:tRNA from 1 species